ensembl:lncRNA
CUCCAGACCAGAAUACUGGAGCUCCCUUCUCCAGAGGAUCUUCCCAACUCAGGGAUUGAGCCCAGGUCUCCCACUUUGCAGGUGGAUUCUUUACCAGCUGAGCCACAAGGGAAACCCAAGAAUACUGGAGUGGGUAGCCUAUCCUUUCUCCAAGGGAUUUUCCUGACCCAGGAUUCGAACCAGAGUCUCCUGAACUGCAGGUGGAUUCUUUACCAACUGAGCUAUCCUAGGUCUUUAAUCAUUUUUAAACAGAGACAUCACUUUGCUAUACAUUCCAUAGGCAAAAUGUCCAUACAGUCAAAGCUAGGGCUUUUCCAGUGGUCAUGUGUAGAUGUAAAAGUUGGACCAUAAAGAAAGCUGGGCACCAAAGAACUGAUGCUUUUGAAUUUUGGUGCUAGAGAAGACUCUUUAGAGUCUCUUUGAUUGCGAGGAGAUUAAGCCAGUCAAUCCCAAAGGAAAUCAACCCUGAAUAUUCAUUGGAAGGACUGAAGUUGAAGCUGAAGCUCCAAUACUUUGGCCACCUGAUGCAACAAGCUGAUUCACUGGAAAGACCUUGAUGCUGGGAAAGAUUGAGGGCAGGAGGAGAAGAGAGUGGCAUAGGAUGAGAUGGUUAUAUAGCUUCACUGACUCAAUGGACUUGAAUUUGAGCAAACUCCAGGAGAUAGUGAAGGACAGGGAAGCCUGGUGUGCUGAAGUCCAUGGGGUUGCAAAGAGUCAGACACGACUAAGUGACUCAACAACAAAAAAUGUUGCUCUAAGUCUUCCCAAGUGAUGCUAGUGGUAAACAACAACAAAAAAAAUACUGGCCUGCCAGUGCAGGAGACAUGGAGACGCAGUUUCAAUUCCUGAGUUGGGAAGAUCCCCUGGAGGAGGGCAUGACAACCCACUCCAGUAUUCUUGACUGGAGAAGCCUCACGGACAGAGGAGCUUGACAGUCCAUAGGAUCACAAAGAGUGGAACACAACUGAAGGGGCACAUUGUUGCUUUAAACUACCACAAGAAGUUCUUGAACCUUCCUGGAGAAUUUCAAGACCCCAACAGAUCUUCCAAGCACACCCUUCCUCAGAACAACUCCAUCCCUCAUCCCCUGCCUCUGCAGCUGCCUUCACAACCCUUAGAGAAGAUAAACUUGUAACCCAGGCUGGGAAAUUGAGCCUGACUCAUGCUGAGAAGUUGAGUAGUAUAAAGGGCAUCUAGUACUUUAAUUUACUGCUUCAGACUUCUCUGUGUCCUUACCAGAAGCUUAUUGCCACAGUCCUCCGGGCUCUUUCAACUCAAACCCUUUAUACACCUCGCUAGAAAUGUGUAACUACAAAAGUUCCAAACCAUUAGUUUAGAUUCUUUCCAGAUCCUUUCAGAAGGUCUGCCCUAAAGACAGUGACAUGCAGUAAAUUACCUCAAAGGGAACAUGCCGCAGAAUGCUUGCUGGAAAGAUGAUCUAGGACGGAAGAGACAAAACAAGGAGAGGCAUUUAAAAUCUGUCUGAAGUGCAUUUUACCCCUUUUAGCCCACGAAUGCCAUGAACACAAUGGUGAUACUAAUAUUGUUCCCAUUACCUCUAUACUGGAUUAACAAAUACCUCUUUUGUGGCUCUCCAGAGGGUCUGCCAUCUGUGGCUUCCAGAGGAUGUCUGAAAAGGGAGAGAAGCAUAUCACAGCUGCAAAGGAAAGCGCCUGCUGAUUUUAUAUACUCAAUCUGAGGCCUGCUGUAAACCCAGCCCUGCACGAUGCAUGAUGUGAAAUGCACAGUCAUAACAAAGCCCUCAUCUCUUCCUUCAAGAUGCUCACAAAUCAGUUUUAGCACAGGAAGCAUCAUACACAGGGAGGAGCCCCGUUUUCUGGUUACAAGCUCUAUGGAACCUGACUGCCUGGCUCCAUCUUCCACCAGCUACAUGGAUUUGGGCGAGGAAAAUGACAUGAGAAGAAAUACCCAGGAUGCUAGAUGAGUGACUUGACAAGGGAGAUCAACAAGUCAAAUGGCCAAGCAUGUGUAAAUAGCCCAGGGGCGCCCUGUACCAGACAGACUGGAACAACAUCAGCUCCUUAGCCACUGGUGUUCAAACGGCUCGUUUCCUACUAAGCAAGAGGGCACUGCAUUCAACAAGAGUGACGGAAAACCAAAUCAUGCAGAAAGUCAGUCUGCUAGCAACGCUUCAGAAGGGAAGACAUUUAUCAGCACCUCUGACACAGGGCUGUGACACCACAGGAUAACAUGCAUGUUCUUGGCCUG